rnacentral:rRNA from 1 species
UACGUAGGGGGCUAGCGUUGUCCGGAUUUACUGGGCGUAAAGAGCGCGCAGGCGGUCGUUCAAGUCGAGUGUGAAAGCCCCCGGCUCAACUGGGGAGGGGCACGCGAUACUGAUCGACUCGAAGGCAGGAGAGGGUAGUGGAAUUCCCGGUGUAGUGGUGAAAUGCGUAGAUAUUGGGAAGAACACCGGUGGCGAAAGCGCCUUGCUGGGUCUGCACUGACACUGAGGGACGAAAGCUAGGGGAGCGAAAGGG